rnacentral:rRNA from 1 species
UCUUGGUCAUUUAGAGGAAGUAAAUUUAGAUNCGUAACAAGGUUUCCNGUAGGAGGAACCUGCGGAAGGAUCAUU